UGUUCACCAAAUGCUUCCACAAACGCCUCCAAAAAGGUUUCAAAGUUGUUUAGUAUGGACAAUCGUUUCUCAAACAAAGGAGCAAACUAUGAUAGAGCUUGUCCUAUAAGUAAGGUUCCAACAAGCCCAACAUGUGACUCCUCCGUUAGAUAGUGUUCGGGCUGUAAAACUGUUAUCAACCUGAUUUGGUUGACGAAUCCUCAAAACUUAGAAUGCGUACCAUCAAACUUGUCUGGAAGGCUAACUCGAAGCUCCUUAUGUUGUAGAACUAGAAGUGCUUGUCAAACUUGAGGCAAAGUUGCUUCUCCAAGUGCAGAAGUUUGAGCCUUGUGCAACCUAGAUUGUGCCAUCCCAGAUGCUCCAUCAUUAUGAAGCCUUGCCAUGACUCCUUGAAUCUCUGCAGUUCUUUGCGAUAAUGUAGCGAGGACAUUCGUGAUAGCAUUAAACUUAGACACCGAACUUUUUGUCAUACUAAUGUCUUGGCUCCCGGCCAUUCUAAGAGAAGGACAGAAAUGACUCUACAAAAAGAUAAUAUUGGUUUAGAGGAGGGUACUCCGCAACCUCUAAAAUGUCUUAAGAGCUUCAAGAAAAGGGAUAAUCC
rnacentral:lncRNA from 1 species